rnacentral:misc_RNA from 1 species
UGCAUGAACGUAAUGCUCAUAACUUCCCUCUAGACCUAGCCGCUGUCGAAGCUCCAUCUACAAAUGGAUAAUACUUCGAUUUUAGUUUAUAUGAGUUCUUGAAAAUAAAGGAGCAAUAACCAACCCUCUUGAUACAAAAAGAAAUUGGUUAUUGCUCCUUUAUUUUAUGUAUUAGUCUUUUACUUAUACUUACAUAAGUGUUUUUCUUUACUUCAACAUAAGAAAAGGCAUUCUUAUGGGUUGAUUUAUAAUUGAGGAUUAUACUUUAUUUUGUUCUGUACUAAUUUUCAAAUAAAAUUUAUCUAUGUUCUUCUCAAUCUUUUCUUUUGUGAAGUAAUUUUUUUACAUUUUAAAUAAGAAAGAUUUUUAUUUUCUCUCUUUUCUUUUCUAUCUUAUUCUUGUAUCUUAUAAUAGAAUUCUUCUUAUAAGAACGAUAAAUAAGAAAUAUAAAAAAAUUAU